GAAGAAGUGGGCUUACUCUUUUUCUUCUUCAGAAACUGUUUUGUUGAAUACGGUUUGGAGAGGGAGAGAAGAACCGAGAGAGUGAGAGAGAGAAGUCCAACCAUUAUGCUGGAAAAAGCUUUGGAGAAAUGGGUUUAAGAGAUCUAAAUGAAGAUAAGAGAGGAAACUCAAGGAAUUAAAAAGAAAUUCAGCCAUUGAAGGUUAAAGGUCACGCGUUAUCGUUCGCCUGAUCUAUCUGAAUUGUCUGCAUUAUCUGAUCUGCUAGUGGAGCCAAUGUGGUCAGGCACCGGAUCAAAGUUAGCAGCGUCAGCCUAAUUCCGUUUCGUCAAACCAACCCACUGUGCCUCCCGUGGAGGUUCCGGACAUGUCUAGUGAUUGUGGCUAAGUGCAUAAGUUGAAGUUCUGUUUUCCUGUUCAGCUAGACAAGUCUUUGUGUAUUUUGUAAAUAGGGCUAAGUCCCUUUUUGUCUAGCUUAUAUACGUAUAUAUAUGAUGAUGUGUAUAUGUAUGUAUAUAAAGUUUAAAAUUUUUCUGUCUCAUAUAAGUCU